CAAAAUGGCCGGAGCCGAGCGGCAGAAAGAAAAGAUGUAAAACAUGAGUAUGUACAUCAAUGGUGGAACGAUGGUAGAAGGCACAGCGGGUCUGUCCGGUGUGACAGGUAGUCACGACUAUAAUGGACCUUUGGAAAAGACCAGAUCUGAGCUCAACUUCCUUCCAGUCAUUUUUUAUCUUUUUUUGAGACACAGUCUCACUCUGUCGCCCAGGCUGGAAUGCAGUGGCGCAAUCUCGGCUCACAGCAACCUGUGCCUCCCGGGAUCAAGUGAUUCUCGUGCCUCAGCCUCUGGAGUAGCUGGGACUACAGGCACACGCCACCACGCCUGGCUAAUUUUUAUAUUUUUAGUAGAGACAGGAUUUCCAUAUGUUGGCCAAGCUGGUCUCAAACUCCUGGCCUCAAGCCAUCUGCCUGCCUCGGCCUCCCAAAGUGCUUGGAUUACAGGCGUAAACCACUGCACCCUGCCAACUUCAUUCCAGUUCUAAUACCUGAUCCACUUUACAGAUGAAGAAACUGAGGAAUUAAAAGGUAAAACAAGCUGCCCAAGUCCUGAGAUAAAGCUGGAAAUCAAGUCCAGUUUGUCGUGACUCUAGAACAUGCACCCUUAACCCCUCCACCAUAGAAACUCAGGAACUAGAGAGUUCUGAAUGGAACUUUACACCAAUAAAAGCCAUUCUGUCCAAGAG
rnacentral:antisense_RNA from 1 species